AUUUUAAAAUUGGUGUAGAACUGAAAGAGUGGCACAUCCAUCUCUACACACCCCAUUGUCAGAGGUAGACCCAGUGUUUCAAUUAGACAGUAACUCACACAC